AUUUGAUUCUCUCUCUGGCAAGAAAACCUGAAAUACUAUACUAUACCAACUAGUAUUUUCUUUUGCACUUUCCAAACUUUGCUUCACUGUUUCAUGAGACAGCAGGUGACGCGGUUCCCUCCAGGCACAUCCACGCUGAAGUCAAAACUGGCAGAUGCUUGAUGUACCGCGCGGAGGUGUGUCUGCUGUGGGAUGGAGCCUGCACCUCGAUGCCAUGCUGAAGUCGUUCCCCUCGCAAAAAUGAGCUCUUGCUUAGUUUAUCCAGGUGGAGGCUAUGCUGGGCUAGAGGCAGAGUGGAAACCAGAUCUUCUUCCAGAGGUAGAGCAGCACAUAAAAGCAGCCAAGAGGGUAAGAGCUUGCACGAUAUGCCAGAAAUCUAUAUGACAUUUAGAUACUUAACUGGUAAAGCGAGGUGGAGGCUUUCAAAGACACAGCUUAGCUUUGAAGGGAUUUUGCAGAGCACUUUGGCAUAUGAGGUGCCUAAAUUCCCAUUGAACCUCAUCUUGGGGCAUUAAGCAUCUGACAACCCCUUUAUUUUGUAAAUACACCCUCCAAAGGUUCCAAAUGUAUCAAAUGUAUCCCCUAUUUUAUUUUCUCUAGGUUUAUGUGAUUUUUUCCUGCUUGCACCUACCACAUUUAUCUCGG
rnacentral:lncRNA from 1 species